GGGAUGACCCACGGCUCUUUACACUCACGGCCCUGCGACGGCGGGGCUUCCCACCUGAGGCCAUCAACAACUUCUGUGCCCGGGUGGGAGUGACUGUGGCACAGACCACAAUGGAGCCACAUCUUCUAGAAGCCUGUGUGCGUGAUGUACUGAAUGACACAGCCCCACGAGCCAUGGCUGUGCUGGAGUCACUACGGGUCAUCAUCACCAACUUUCCUGCUGCCAAGUCCUUGGACAUCCAGGUGCCCAACUUCCCAGCUGAUGAGACCAAAGGCUUCCAUCAGGUUCCCUUUGCACCCAUUGUCUUCAUUGAGAGGACUGACUUCAAGGAGGAGCCAGAGCCAGGAUUUAAGCGCCUGGCUUGGGGCCAGCCUGUGGGCCUGAGGCAUACAGGCUACGUCAUUGAGCUGCAGCAUGUUGUCAAGGGCCCCAGUGGUUGUGUAGAGAGUCUGGAGGUGACCUGCAGACGGGCAGAUGCUGGAGAGAAGCCAAAGGCCUUUAUUCACUGGGUGUCACAGCCUUUGAUGUGUGAGGUUCGCCUCUAUGAGCGACUCACAAGAACCCUGAAGAUCCUACUGAGGUGCCUGGUGGAUUUUUAAGUGACCUGAACCUGGUAGGUUCGUGAGGUUUGGGGUGAGGGAGGUAGGCCUCCCUGGUUGGAUGGUUGCCUGAGUUCCCUGCCUGCAGGCAUCACUACACGUGGUGGAUGCA
rnacentral:sRNA from 1 species